GACAAACGCUGGCGGCGUGCUAAUACAUGCAAGUCGAACGGGGAAAGCUUUCGGGUGAGUACUAGUGGCGCACGGGUGAGGAACGCGUGGAUAAUCUGCCUUAGAGUGGGGGAUAACUAGUCGAAAGAUUAGCUAAUACCGCAUAAGACCACAGGAGCUGCGGCUCUAGGGGUCAAAGGUUUUUCGCUCUAAGAUGAGUCCGCGUAAGAUUAGCUAGUUGGUGAGGUAACGGCUCACCAAGGCGACGAUCUUUAACUGGUCUGAGAGGAUGAUCAGUCACACUGGAACUGAGACACGGUCCAGACUCCUACGGGAGGCAGCAGUAGGGAAUAUUGCACAAUGGAGGAAACUCUGAUGCAGCGACGCCGCGUGAGUGAUGAAGGCCUUCGGGUCGUAAAGCUCUGUCGCAGGGGAAUAACACAAUGAAUGUACCCUGUAAGAAAGGAUCGGCUAACUUCGUGCCAGCCGCCGCAGUAAGAC
rnacentral:rRNA from 1 species